UGGAGGUUAUUUUCCGGCGGUUUAUAAAACCUCCCAAAUGUUCUGGCGGUUUUGCAAAGAAACCGCCUGCAAAUGUUAAAUAUAUCACGCUCGCUGAUUCGUGCCUCCUUCAAUUAAGUUCUUCUUCAUUUCACAGGCUUUUCUUCCUACAUUUGUGUUUCUUCUUCAGUUAAGUUCUUCUUCAUUUUACAAGCUCUUCUUCCUUUCACAGGUCUUUCUCCUUUAUUUCACUUAUGGAAAUUGAUUGAUUAUUUACCCUUCGUUACUGAGUGUGCGCCUUUCGCCCCGUGGCUCGUCAUUGUCGCUUGAGUUUCCAGAAAUCGUUGAGCGUGCUCGCCUUUAGGGAUUGCGCGCGUGGGUGUCUUCGUUCGUUGCCUGUGAGAGCAAAAUCGUUGAGCAAUGCGAGGAGGGAGCGAGGACUGAAUGUGCCGUCAGCGCUUCCAGGAACUGUAAGCCUACAUGGUGGAAGGCUCUAGCGGGCCUCACAAUUCACGAUCUGAAGGAACGGGAGGAGUGUGAAGUGCGGGAUAGGGCGGGUUGUUUCGCUGUGGCUAAGGAUAAAUGUGCUGACUUCGCCAGGGAGAAGUGUUUGGUUCCCUUUAGGGAUGCGAGGAUUAGGGUUGCGAAAGGGGUUUUGAGUUCCAAGGGUGUUGGGAAGUUGAUUGGUUGGGGAUCGAUGCCUGUGAAUGGGAGGAACAUGUGGUUGAUGAAUCAAAUGGGUCUGAUUGGUGGUGAUUUGGGAAAAAAUUAUUUCUAUCAGAGGAUUCUAUCAAGGUUCAUUAACAGAUACCAAUAUACGGUGAAGUUGAGAAACGAUAUAUUCAUGAUCCACUACUUUCUCAGGUGAUGAUGAUCUUGCAAUCUUGAGCGCGGAAAUUAAAAGCCGAAAAAAGAAGCAAAUUAAUCACUUAAAGAAAAAAUCACUCUGUUCUAGAAAUUUGGAGGAGGUAACAUCAGAUUUCUUCUCUGCAAAUUUAUGUUUAUCUUGUCGCUCAAUGUUGUCCUCCUUGUUUGUUUUAUCCCCAAUUAGUCUUUCAUAGUAUCCGAUCCACGUAUAAUCAAAUAUACUGUAGAGAAAAUGAUUUUUAUUUAUAGAUGUGGGUUCAUCUUGUGGAUAUUAUAAAUAGAGAGAACCUGCAUAAGUUGAGUUGAAUAUGAUUCAAAUCCAAUG